CUUAACACAUGCAAGUCGAGGGGCAGCAUGGUCUUAGCUUGCUAAGGCCGAUGGCGACCGGCGCACGGGUGAGUAACACGUAUCCAACCUGCCGUCUACUCUUGGACAGCCUUCUGAAAGGAAGAUUAAUACAAGAUGGCAUCAUGAGUCCGCAUGUUCACAUGAUUAAAGGUAUUCCGGUAGACGAUGGGGAUGCGUUCCAUUAGAUAGUAGGCGGGGUAACGGCCCACCUAGUCUUCGAUGGAUAGGGGUUCUGAGAGGAAGGUCCCCCACAUUGGAACUGAGACACGGUCCAAACUCCUACGGGAGGCAGCAGUGAGGAAUAUUGGUCAAUGGGCGAGAGCUUGAACCAGCCAAGUAGCGUGAAGGAUGACUGCCCUAUGGGUUGUAAACUUCUUUUAUAAAGGAAUAAAGUCGGGUAUGGAUACCCGUUUGCAUGUACUUUAUGAAUAAGGAUCGGCUAACUCCGUGCCAGCAGCCGCGGUAAUACGGAGGAUCCGAGCGUUAUCCGGAUUUAUUGGGUUUAAAGGGAGCGUAGAUGGAUGUUUAAGUCAGUUGUGAAAGUUUGCGGCUCAACCGUAAAAUUGCAGUUGAUACUGGAUAUCUUGAGUGCAGUUGAGGCAGGCGGAAUUCGUGGUGUAGCGGUGAAAUGCUUAGAUAUCACGAAGAACUCCGAUUGCGAAGGCAGCCUGCUAAGCUGCAACUGACAUUGAGGCUCGAAAGUGUGGGUAUCAAACAGGAUUAGAUACCCUGGUAGUCCACACGGUAAACGAUGAAUACUCGCUGUUUGCGAUAUACUGCAAGCGGCCAAGCGAAAGCGUUAAGUAUUCCACCUGGGGAGUACGCCGGCAACGGUGAAACUCAAAGGAAUUGACGGGGGCCCGCACAAGCGGAGGAACAUGUGGUUUAAUUCGAUGAUACGCGAGGAACCUUACCCGGGCUUAAAUUGCAGAUGAAUUACGGUGAAAGCCGUAAGCCGCAAGGCAUCUGUGAAGGUGCUGCAUGGUUGUCGUCAGCUCGUGCCGUGAGGUGUCGGCUUAAGUGCCAUAACGAGCGCAACCCUUGUUGUCAGUUACUAACAGGUUCCGCUGAGGACUCUGACAAGACUGCCAUCGUAAGAUGUGAGGAAGGUGGGGAUGACGUCAAAUCAGCACGGCCCUUACGUCCGGGGCUACACACGUGUUACAAUGGGGGGUACAGAGGGCCGCUACCACGCGAGUGGAUGCCAAUCCCCAAAACCUCUCUCAGUUCGGACUGGAGUCUGCAACCCGACUCCACGAAGCUGGAUUCGCUAGUAAUCGCGCAUCAGCCACGGCGCGGUGAAUACGUUCCCGGGCCUUGUACACACCGCCCGUCAAGCCAUGGGAGCCGGGGGUACCUGAAGUGCGUAACCGCGAGGAGCGCCCUAGGGUAAAACUGGUGACUGGGGCU
rnacentral:rRNA from 1 species